UACGAAGGGGGCUAGCGUUGUUCGGAUUUACUGGGCGUAAAGCGCACGUAGGCGGAUCGUUAAGUCGGGGGUGAAAUCCUGGAGCUCAACUCCAGAACUGCCUUCGAUACUGGCGAUCUUGAGUCCGGAAGAGGUGAGUGGAACUCCUAGUGUAGAGGUGGAAUUCGUAGAUAUUAGGAAGAACACCAGUGGCGAAGGCGGCUCACUGGUCCGGUACUGACGCUGAGACGCGACAGCAUGGGGAGCGAACGGG
rnacentral:rRNA from 1 species